rnacentral:rRNA from 1 species
UACGUAGGUGGCGAGCGUUGUCCGGAUUUACUGGGCGCAAAGGGCGUGCAGGCGGUUUGUUAAGUGCAGGGUGAAAGCUCCCGGCUCAACUGGGAGAGGUCCUUGCAUACUGGCGAACUCGAGGGAGGCAGAGGAAAGUGGAAUUCCCGGUGUAGUGGUGAAAUGCGCAGAUAUCAGGAGGAACACCGGUGGCGAAGGCGGUUCUCUGGGCAUUACCUGACGCUGAGGAGCGAAAGCCAGGGGAGCAAACGGG